rnacentral:rRNA from 1 species
GAUGAACGCUGGCGGCGUGCCUAAUACAUGCAAGUCGAGCGAAUGGAUUAAGAGCUUGCUCUUAUGAAGUUAGCGGCGGACGGGUGAGUAACACGUGGGUAACCUGCCCAUAAGACUGGGAUAACUCCGGGAAACCGGGGCUAAUACCGGAUAACAUUUUGAACCGCAUGGUUCGAAAUUGAAAGGCGGCUUCGGCUGUCACUUAUGGAUGGACCCGCGUCGCAUUAGCUAGUUGGUGAGGGAACGGCUCACCAAGGCAACGAUGCGUAGCCGACCUGAGAGGGUGAUCGGCCACACUGGGACUGAGACACGGCCCAGACUCCUACGGGAGGCAGCAAUAGGGAAUCUUCCGCAAUGGACGAAAGUCUGACGGAGCAACGCCGCGUGAGUGAUGAAGGCUUUCGGGUCGUAAAACUCUGUUGUUAGGGAAGAACAAGUGCUAGUUGAAUAAGCUGGCACCUUGACGGUACCUAACCAGAAAGCCACGGCUAACUACGUGCCAGCCGCCGCGGUAA